rnacentral:misc_RNA from 1 species
GAUGAAGAACGCAGCGAAAUGCGAUACUUGGUGUGAAUUGCAGAAUCCAGUGAACCAUCGAGUCUUUGAACGCAAGUUGCGCCCGAAGCCAUUAGGCCGAGGGCACGCCUGCCUGGGCGUCACACGUCGUUGCCCCCCCAUCUACUCCUUCGGGAUUGCGGGGGGCGGAUGAUGGCCUCUCGUGCGCCUCGUCGCGCGGUUGGCCUAAAUGCCAAGUCCUCGGCGACGCACGCCACGACAAUCGGUGGUUGCGAAACCUCGGUUGCCUGUCGUGUGCGGUCGUCGCGCAUCGAGGGCUCGAAAAAAUUGCCGGGCUUCGGCUCGACUUUCAACGCGACCCCAGGUCAGGCGGGGUUACCCGCUGAGUUUAAGCAUAUCAAUAAGCGGAGGA